CUAGUUCCCAACCUGAAAUCAGUUUACUCUGUAGUGAAAAACAACAUUCAAGUCACAAGGUCAGUUCCUGACUCUACCUUACGCAGGAGGACAUAUGCUCCCACGGGAGGCUUGGGGUCUGGAGAAGUCUGCACCGUGGCUGGGAACAUUUAUGCCUCAACCUGUCUUGAAGCUGCCUUCAUGGUCUUUUUCAAAGAGGUGGAGAACAGGGCACUGACAAGAAGAAUCUGUGGAGUGAUGUUCCUGAGAUCACCCAGGACAGGCUCCCAGUCCCGCAAGCAUUGUCCCUGGGGUUGGCCUCUGCACCUGACAUUUUUAGGGCCCGAGGCCCUCACUUCUGGGCCAAGCCAAGAGAAGAAAGAGCAAUUCAAAAAUUCAUCGUGGAGACUGCAGUAGAAAUGAAGAACUGGCUCCACCCCCACAGGAUGUUACCCCAGCUGCUUUCCAUUCACAAUCUGGUUCUGAGCAGACCAAGGAAAACACAGGACGAGGCUGUGCUCCGGCUCAAUUAUACAUUCAAAUUGCCUGUAUUUAAAAACCCCUAAAAACUGUAAUGGCUUAAUUAAGCUGGUAGCUUUAUGGCAUGCUUCUCCUCACAGCCUAAUUCAAAGCCCUUUCUCUUUCACUGAGAAGUCAAUGUGACAAUUCUGUCUUGCUGGGAUGGCUGCCGCAAGGAGGAGGGGCUACAGGAUGGGAAAAUGAAGAAAGUGGAUCUUGGUGGAAGUUAAAUUUCUCUUGUGGCAGAUGGUCUACAAAUCUCCAGUCCUUCAGAGUACAUAAAACGGGUCCCUGGGGAAAGAGUAGGCAUUCAUCUAGG